CUUAGCUCCCAGGGUGCACAGCUGGACAUUUGGGGGUCUUCUGUCAGCAGGGACAGCGUGAAUGGGGGCAAUGGCAUCUCCAGGCCGCAUCCUGGCCCUCUGCAUGUGUCUCCUCACCAUGGCCAGUGCAGAAGGUCCACAGGAACCCGAUCCAUUCACCUACGGUGAGAGGAGCUACUAUGGGGUUUGGAGAGAGGCCUGGGUGUUUAUAUUCUCUCUGUCUCUCUCUGUGUGUAUCUCUCUCUGUGUGUCUGUCUACAUGUCUGUGUGUCUGUUUGUGUCUCUCAUUCUUCGCUCUCUCCCGCUCUGCUUGUCUUAGACCCCUUUACCUGUCUAUUUGAGGCCCCUGUCUCAUUUGGGCUGGUUUCUCAGGAUCAGCUCCCCUGUCCCCUGCUGCCUCCACUUUCUGUGCUAUCCUCCUCUCCAACCUUUCUCUCUUUCCACCCCUCCC
rnacentral:lncRNA from 1 species